AGAUGAGCAAAGGCUCACAUGCUCAUAACCUGCCUUGGAUAUUAUUGUUCAUCUAAAAAAAAGUUUGUGGUCUUCUGCAAAAGCACACAUCCUGUCAAAGUCCUUUGAAAAACUAGAGUGUGUUGAGUAACAUCAUACUGUGCAAUGAACAAACGUACAUCUGACUUAACGCCUCACCAUGGCGAAUUGUAACAAUCAGACACAACAGUGUGAUUUUUUAAAUCUGCAACAACAUUUAUAUGUUCUGUUUGGAUUGUCCAACAUAUUACUGGUUAUCUCAGUAUCUUGCAAUAUUUUCUUCUUUGUGUCAAAAUGUUGCUCAGGUGAAGGGAAAUGCCGAAACAAACGUCAGAGCCCAAGACACAUGGAAGACAAUCCCAUUUAUGGAAACAUAAGCUUCACACAAACAAAUGUCACAGAGGUUGACCGUCCACACUCAUCACUCAGCUCUUCAUCUUUGAGGGACCAACAUAGAGUGAAUCCUAAAUCACAGUCAAACAAUCAGGACUGCUACGCCAAUCUGACCCUGAAACCUCCCAGGCCGCAGUCCGGCCGUAGCUCUCCACAGAUACAAUACUCAGAUGUUGUCCUUGUGGAGGUGCCGUUAGAGCCAGAGAAAGAAGGUGAAGGCAACACUGAUGCCAUCUCCACCAUGUCUGAUCUGUAUGCAUCCGUGCAAACGCAGCGUAUCAAAGUGAAUACUGCAGACAAUGGGGAGGACUAUGCCAACCACUUCUGAGAGAAGUCACCGAUUCCAACGUGCCAGAAAUGGUAUAUGCAGCUUGACCUCCUGCCACAUGAAGGCACUGUUUUACAACAAAGAGCUCUUGUUCCAGUGAGAGUGAGAGAAUUUGGUCUGAUUAAUUAAUGGGCUAAUAUUCAGUUUCUAAACUUUGUUAGCUUUACAGUUACAUUGGUGCAUAUGAAUUGUUUCAAAUAUGUAUGACUUUGUAAAGAGAAUAACUGUAGCAUGUACUGCACAUCUAUAUUAAUCUGACAUUUAACAAAUAGUAAAACAAAUUUUUGAGUGGAGAUGGGCUUUGAAAUAUUAUCAGUGAUGGAUACCUGACCAGUCAACAGCUCAGUGAUUCCUCCUUUAUCAACUGUCCUCUGACAUCGUAACAUCAUCAUUUACCGAUGAUAUGUAACAUUUACUUAUGAGUUGCAAACAUUUAAACCUGUAAAUUAAUAAUCAUAAGAAGAGGAACGUUCUGUGUUCAAAGCCCAGGCCUUGAACGUUUCUGUGUGGAGUUUGCAGACUGACAACCUAUCCUGGGUGCACCCUGCCCUCACCCAAUGUCAACUGGUAUUUCCUGCAGCCCCCUCACACUGUGACCCUGCACAGAUAAGUGAUAUAGAUAAUGGAUGGAAUUACAUUUUCUUUUCAUUUGUCAUCAGAAUAUAAUCAGUUGUGUCAGAGGUCUUUAAUUGAAAAAAAAAAAAACAACCUUAUCUAUGAAGACAGUGAUAACAGUUUGGAUUACAAUGAUCAAUAAGGUAAUAAUCUUUUGUAAUAAUUAAUGUUUUGGGAGAACUGUAACACGGUCCCUCAAAAGAAUGGAGUCACACACAGGGGAAGACAUACAGCACUCAUUAGUCCUUUCAGGUAUUUGAAAUCAGGCACAGUGAAGUCAAAUCACAGAAAGAUAUUUAUUCAAGACAUUGUUCAUAGAGAAUAAAGACUAUGGACAUCCAUUUUGGAAAGUUUGAGUUUUGGUGAGACUCCUCUGAGUUUGUGCACCAAGCCAAGAGCACACAAAGAUUUAAAACUGAAGUCACUCUUACCUACAUUUUCAAUGCUUGAGCAGAAAACACUGUGUAGGUUGGCUGUUCAGUUGUUUCACCAGUUUAGUUUGAUGGAAUUAUUUAAAUAAGCAUCAAGCAGCAUGUCAAGUGUGUCACAUGCUAUCCAACUGACCUUUCAUCUGGCACUAUGAGGUUGGCAUUUGUGGGUUUAAAGGAAAUAUCACAACUUCCACUAGACUAACAAGACCCUUGGUUGUUGUUCGAAUAAUUUUGGUGAUCCUUUAUUCUUGAAUGGUAAAUGGACUGCACUUCUAUGGGGCUUUUUUGGUCUAGUCAGUGGUGGACAUAGCACACAGCUCAAACUCCUUGAGUGUAGAUCCUCCUGGUAAAACUUUACUCCAGUAAAAGUUAAAGAAACAAAGUUAGACUAUGACUUGGGUAGAAGUAAAGGAGUACUUGCUUUUGCGAAUACUUAGUAUUAGUAUUAGCAUUCAUAGUACUUUUCAUCGCAAUGCAAUGUGUCCUGAAGCAGUACAUUCAAAGAAUUUUUUUACCCCUCUUUCGGCUUUUCCCUUUUCGGGGUCACCACAGCAAGUCAGCUCAUUGUAACUUUAGGAGUGAUUUGACCCCAGUUUUCCACUACUGGGCACCCUGUGGCUGGGGUUCGUCGUAGGGGAAUCGAACCAGGAAUCGAACCAGACUUAGGCAUGCCAGGCAGGUACACUCACGACUAUACUGUCAAAGCAGAAAAUCAUUAAAUAAGAAGCAAAUCAUAGAGACAAACUUCAACAGACAAAAGGACCAACACGGUAAUUGUCUUGCUCUAAAUGCUAAAUGAAAUAAGUUACAAUAAAAGUCUUGCCUCGGUGACCCACUGAACUGGAGACCAAGGGCUCGGUCUGCCCACAUCUUACCCUGUGACGGCCCAGAGGCUCUGUAUUGCAGCAACAGCCAUCCCCACAGAGAGAAUCAAUCCCAGUUUUCACCAAGAAUGGGCUAAAACCGUGACCUGGGUGCUGCGUUUUCCUUUUUAUUGACUCCGGUUUUUCAAACUUGGACAAGGGAAAGACAGAAAGAAAAGAAUGAAAAAUAAAAAGGAAAUAUAUGUAUAAAUAAAUAUACAUAUGAAAUUAUAAGUAUUUGCAGUGGAAUAUUGUAGGUUGAUAGUUGACCCUAAAUUGUCUGUAGGUCUGAGUGAGAGUGUGAAUGGUUGUUGGUCUCUGUCUGUCUCUGUGUGUUGCCCCUGUAAUGGACUGGUGACCUGUCCAGGGUGACCCUGCCCUCACCCAGAGUGAGCUGGAAAUGGAUAAGCAGCAGAAGAUGAACGAGGGUAUGAUUCUCUAUACUUGUCGUUGUUCAUUCAUUGAUUCAUUAAUCUUCAACAACUUUAUCCAUUUAUCACAGGCAGGCCAGCUGACAUUGCCUGGGCACGGGACAAAAUAAUCUUAGAUGCCCCCCCCCCCCCGGGACUUGUGCUGACUGGACAUUUUCCGACCGAACUUCAGACAACAGAAAACAGCCUGGCAUAGCAACAGUCACCAAGAGGGGCGGGGCUUAGUGGUGGAUUGGUGGCCAAACCAUUUAUUGGGAAGGUGGGAGGGGUUGGCAAUUAGGAAGAAAGAAAAUAAAAAGCUUAUGUAACUCAAAUAUUACAUAUUAUUUUCCACAAAUAGUCUUAUUUUGAGAAAUCUUGAAAAAUUAUUCCAUAAUUUAACGAGAGCCCCUCUACCAGGGCCAACACACAGAAACAGACAGAGACAAACAACCACUCGCACUCUGACCUACAGACAAUUUAGAGUCACCAGUUAACCCAAACAUGAUGUCUUUGGACGGUGGGUGGAAACCCACGCAGGCAGAGAGAACAUGCAAACAGAAAGGCCCCAGGCCGGGAACUGAAUACCAACCUUCUUAUUGCUGGGCAACAGCACUAACCACUAUGCUGCUGUGCUGCCUCUAUGUUGUUUCGAUUAAAAUAUUUAAGUUUAUAAGUUUAACUUAUAACUCAAACUUAUAAGUUUUAUAAGUUUAUAAAUGAUAUCCAUUCAAUCAGAGACUGGACUUUUUCUCAAAUUGGGUUGGAUCCCUAAUGUAUGCUAUUUACAUUGUUAAUUCAUUUUAAACAUACUUUUACAUUGUUUUUGUAACAGAUAAAUUGAAGAAACAAACAAAAAAAAAAAUUCUCCCACUUGGGAGCUGAAAUUUGGUUCUAUAAAAGACUACCUUUUUUUCUGUUUAUUAAUUCUUUAUUUAAAUAUUAAAAUAAGCCAAAAAAAAUGUACGUCAGGGCAUAUAAAAUAAUAGUAUAAAGUAUUAAUACAAUACAAAAUUGAAAAUAAACCAUUCAAGUGCCCACCAAUUGUAGUGCAAUAUUGCUUCAGCUCUUGCAAAAAGUGAGCAAAUUGGGGUUUGUCUAAAAAGACUAUCUGCAGGAAUGUUACUCACAAGCUCAUCACUCAAACAGAGUACUGCAUGCGCAAGGGACAGCUACAGCAACACCACUUGAACACAAGAGCUUUUUCUCUAAAAUCUAACAAGUAUAUCAUAGAAAUGUGGUGGAGUCAAAAGUACAAUAUAUACCUUCAAAUGUAAUGGAGUAAAAGUACAAAAAACUACAGAUCCUUAAAACUGUAUUAAGUACAGUACUUGUGUUAUAAACUUUUUCUCUUAAGGUUUAUAAAGAAAAGAAAUGAAGUAUCCAUGGGGAGAUUAGAUUAGAAGCCCUUUAUCCUUUCAUCUUUAUAACAAAUAACAUGCACUGUAAAAACGAAUUAUUAUUCUGGCUAGCUGAACCAAUGCCCAUUAUCAGUUAUUUGUUGUUUAGGGUUUUAACGAUGGAAUUUUGUUUUGUGGUGUUUUUAAUUCACCAGGUGAAUGCAGUUUAUAGCCAGAUCGGAACACGACCUUUGGUGUAAUGUAAUAAAAUUGCCUAUAUUCUGAUAUAGAUGGUUGUUAUCCUUUACAAUGUCUUGGAGGUUAUCUGUGCACAAUUAAACUAGUCCAACUGCAGUGAUACUGAGAUAAGACAUGUCAAUGCCACAAGAUAUGAAAUUGAAAAGAUACGACUGACUAUGUGUAAACAUGGUUUUGUAACAAUGAUCAGGUCACUGUAUUCACUGUAUUUGGUUUUUAUGCUUUUCUUUGCUUCAGUUUAAGGGAAAAAAAUUAAUGAAACUGAUGAAUUUAUUACAUUUCCUUAUGAGUGCAUAGUUGGAAUAUAUUUCAUAGAAAAUGUACCAACAUAACAGAGGUGAUAAAUAAUAAUAACAAUUAUUAUUAUUAAUUUAUAUUGAUUGAAAAUAAUAAUAAAGAAAUAUAUAGCCGUAUUUCAC
ensembl:lncRNA